AUUGAACGCUGGCGGCAGGCCUAACACAUGCAAGUCGAGCGGAUGAAGGGAGCUUGCUCCUGGAUUCAGCGGCGGACGGGUGAGUAAUGCCUAGGAAUCUGCCUGGUAGUGGGGGACAACGUUUCGAAAGGAACGCUAAUACCGCAUACGUCCUACGGGAGAAAGCAGGGGACCUUCGGGCCUUGCGCUAUCAGAUGAGCCUAGGUCGGAUUAGCUAGUUGGUGAGGUAAUGGCUCACCAAGGCGACGAUCCGUAACUGGUCUGAGAGGAUGAUCAGUCACACUGGAACUGAGACACGGUCCAGACUCCUACGGGAGGCAGCAGUGGGGAAUAUUGGACAAUGGGCGAAAGCCUGGUCCAGCCAUGCCGCGUGUGUGAAGAAGGUCUUCGGAUUGUAAAGCACUUUAAGUUGGGAGGAAGGGUUGUAGAUUAAUACCCUGCAAUUUUGACGUUACCGACAGAAUAAGCACCGGUUAACUCUGUGCCAGCCGCCGCCGUAAAAC
rnacentral:rRNA from 1 species